rnacentral:rRNA from 1 species
UGGGGAAUAUUGCACAAUGGGCGAAAGCCUGAUGCAGCAACGCCGCGUGAGUGAUGAAUGUCUUCGGAUUGUAAAGCUCUGUCUUUUGGGACGAUAAUGACGGUACCAAAGGAGGAAGCCACGGCUAACUACGUGCCAGCAGCCGCGGUAAUACGUAGGUGGCGAGCGUUGUCCGGAUUUACUGGGCGUAAAGGGUGCGUAGGCGGAUGUUUAAGUGAGAUGUGAAAUACCCGGGCUUAACUUGGGUGCUGCAUUUCAAACUGGAUAUCUAGAGUGCAGGAGAGGAGAAUGGAAUUCCUAGUGUAGCGGUGAAAUGCGUAGAGAUUAGGAAGAACACCAGUGGCGAAGGCGAUUCUCUGGACUGUAACUGACGCUGAGGCACGAAAGCGUGGGUAGCAAACAGGAUUAGAUACCCUGGUAGUCCACGCCGUAAACGAUGAGUACUAGGUGUAGGAGGUAUCGACCCCUUCUGUGCCGCAGUAAAACACAUUAAGUACUCCGCCUGGGGAAGUACGAUCGCAAG